UGACAAGUUAUAAAAGGGCGUAUGGGGAAUGCCUAGGCUCUCAGAGGCGAAGAAGGACGCGAUAAGCUGCGAAAAUUUGCGGGGAUCAGCACAUAUGAUAUGAUCCGCAAGUAUCCGAAUGGGGCAACCCGGCAUAUUGAAGAUAUGUCAUCUCGAAAGAGAAGCAAACCCGGAGAACUGAAACAUCUAAGUACCCGGAGGAGGAGAAAACAAAAGUGAUUCCGUUAGUAGUGGCGAGCGAACGCGGAUUAGUCCAAACCAAUAUUGUUUCGGCAAUAUUGGGGUUGUAGGACCACGACAUUUGGUGUGUUAUGAAUUAGAAUACGUUGGAAAGCGUAGCAGUAUCAGGUGAUAGCCCUGUAUAAGUAAAGACCAUUACCGAUAGUGGUAUCCUGAGUAGCACGGGGCACGUGAAACCUUGUGUGAAUUUGGCGGGACCAUCCGUUAAGACUAAAUACUCCUGAGAGACCGAUAGUGAACCAGUACCGUGAGGGAAAGGUGAAAAGAACCCUGAACAAGGGAGUGAAAAAGAUCCUGAAACCAUACGCUUACAAGCGGUCGGAGCCCUUUAGGGGGUGACGGCGUGCCUUUUGCAUAAUGAGCCUACGAGUUACUUUUACCAGCAAGGUUAAGGUCUUAUGGACCGGAGCCGUAGCGAAAGCGAGUCUGAAUAGGGCGACCAUAGUUGGUAGUAGUAGACGCGAAACCGUGUGAUCUACCCAUGGGCAGGUUGAAGCUUUGUUAACCCAAAGUGGAGGACCGAACCCGUUGACGUUGAAAAGUCUUGGGAUGACCUGUGGGUAGGGGUGAAAGGCCAAUCAAACUCGGAAAUAGCUCGUACUCCCCGAAAUGCAUUUAGGUGCAGCGUGCAUAUAGUUUUAUAGAGGUAGAGCUACUGAUUGGAUGCGGGGGCUUCACCGCCUACCAAUUCCUGACAAACUCCGAAUGCUAUAAAAUGUUUAUGCGCAGUGAGGGCAUGGGUGCUAAGGUCCAUGUCCGAGAGGGAAAGAACCCAGAUCAUCAGCUAAGGUCCCAAAGUAUAUACUAAGUUGAAAAAACGAGGUCCAACUGCACAGACAGCCAGGAUGUUGGCUUGGAAGCAGCCAUUCAUUUA
rnacentral:rRNA from 1 species